rnacentral:rRNA from 1 species
AUUAGCUAGUUGGAGGGGUAACGGCCCACCAAGGCGACGAUCAGUAGCCGGUCUGAGAGGAUGAACGGCCACACUGGGACUGAGACACGGCCCAGACUCCUACGGGAGGCAGCAGUGGGGAAUCUUCCGCAAUGGACGAAAGUCUGACGGAGCGACGCCGCGUGAGUGAUGAAGGCCCUUGGGUCGUAAAGCUCUGUCAUUGGGGACGAACGACCGCUUCAGGAAAUGGGAGCGGAGUGACGGUACCCAAGAAGGAAGCCACGGCUAACUACGUGCCAGCAGCCGCGGUAAUACGUAGGUGGCAAGCGUUGUCCGGAAUUAUUGGGCGUAAAGCGCGCGCAGGUGGGAUCUUAAGUCUGUUCUGAAAGUUCGGAGCUUAACUCCGUGAUGGGAUGGAAACUGGGAUUCUUGAGUACCGGAGAGGAAAGCGGAAUUCCCCGUGUAGCGGUGAAAUGCGUAGAUAUGGGGAGGAACACCAGUGGCGAAGGCGGCUUUCUGGACGGUGUCUGACACUGAGGCGCGAAAGCUAGGGGAGCGAACGGGAUUAGAUACCCCGGUAGUCCUAGCCGUAAAC